AACGGGGGGGACUAACGUUAUUCAUCAUAACUGGGCGUAAAGGGUAUGUAGGUUGUUUGUCAAGUCUUAAUUAAAAAAUCUAAGCAUAACUUAGAAAUUAAUUAUUAUACUAAUAAUCUAGAGGUCAUAAGAAGAUUGUUAUAUUUUUAAAGGAGGGGUAAAAUUCAAAGAUAUUAAAAGGAUAACCGUUAAGCGAAGGCGACUCUCUAUUAUAAUACUGACACUGAGGUACGAGGGCAUGGGUAUCAAACGGG
rnacentral:rRNA from 1 species